rnacentral:rRNA from 1 species
UGGGGAAUCUUGCUCAAUGGGAGAAAUCCUGAAGCAGCAACGCCGCGUGGAGGAUGAAGGGUCUAUGACUUGUAAACUCCUGUAAAGAAGGAAAAAAUUCCCAUUUGAUGGGAGAUGAUGGUACUUCUGGAGUAAGCCCCGGCUAACUACGUGCCAGCAGCCGCGGUAAUACGUAGGGGGCAAGCGUUGUCCGGAUUUACUGGGUGUAAAGGGUGCUCAGGCGGAUUUGUAAGUCAGAGGUGAAAUCUUACAGCUUAACUGUGAAACUGCCUUUGAUACUGCAAGCCUAGAGUAUGGAAGAGAGUGAUGGAAUAUCUGGUGUAGCAGUGAAAUGCGUAGAUAUCAGAUAGAACACCGAUGGCGAAGGCAGUCACUUGGUCCAUUACUGACGCUAAAGCACGAAAGCGUGGGUAGCAAACA